rnacentral:rRNA from 1 species
CGACCGCUGGCGGCGUGCUUAACACAUGCACGUCGAACGGAAAGGCCCCUUUGGGGGUACUCGAGUGGCGAACGGGUGAGUAACACGUGAGUAACCUGCCCUUGACUUCGGGAUAACUUCAGGAAACUGGGGCUAAUACCGGAUAGGAAUCCUUGCUGCAUGGUGGGGGUUGGAAAGCUUCGGCGGUUUUGGAUGGACUCGCGGCUUAUCAGCUUGUUGGUGGGGUAGUGGCUUACCAAGGCUUUGACGGGUAGCCGGCCUGAGAGGGCGACCGGCCACAUUGGGACUGAGAUACGGCCCAGACUCCUACGGGAGGCAGCAGUGGGGAAUAUUGCACAAUGGGCGGAAGCCUGAUGCAGCAACGCCGCGUGCGGGAUGACGGCCUUCGGGUUGUAAACCGCGUUCAGCAGGGGCGAAGCUUGUGGUGACGGUACCUGCAGAAGAAGCACCGGCUAACUACGUG